UCUGCAGAUUCUUGCAGGGGAGUGGGGUUUAUAAAAAGACUGUCAGGGAGCUGAGGUGGAUAGGAAUUCAUGGAAGGCCUGGUCCAACAAUGACUGGUACUGCUGACAAGGUUGAUACUUGAUACAUGGAGUAACCAACGGUGACUGUUCUCUGAGUAGCUGUGGUUGCAGUGAGCUAAAUCGACGAAGAAUUACUCGAGGUGCCUGUGUGAUGAUAGUGCAUUUUUAUUUAAUUUACCCUGGGACAAGUAAGUGUUGGAUCUGGAUAUGUGCCCAACUCUGAAGGCGACACCAUAUGCUGCAUUCAGCGAAGGAGGCUGGAUUCAGUCUGUUGUCGCUCUGAAUCUGGCCCCGUUUCGGAUAUGGAUGGAUUGACGUGGAAUUUGGACGGGCCGCCUGCUGGAAGUUGGGCUUCCCGUGCAAUGAUGGGUUCUUGUACAGGGACGGGACGGCCGACGUGGCGCGCGGUGACUGGUGGCCGAGAUUCCCGUGGGCCCCUAUCGCGUGGCAGAGGAUAAGGUGACUGAUGAGUGAGCGCCUGUGGAAGUGUGGGUUGAUGCCUUGAUGGAUCUGAAUGGAGUUGCAAUUUUUCCUCUAGUUUCGUGGUCGAUGGCCUGUGAAUUUGUCCAGUAUGGUUGGCCUCUGUUUUGGGUACUAGUGCUGACACUUGCUCUA